CACGUAGGGGGCAAGCGUUGUCCGGAUUCAUUGGGCGUAAAGAGCUCGUAGGCGGCUCAGCAAGUCGGGUGUGAAAUCUCCAGGCUCAACCUGGAGACGCCACUCGAUACUGCUGUGGCUAGAGUCCAGUAGGGGAGCGUGGAAUUCCUGGUGUAGCGGUGAAAUGCGCAGAUAUCAGGAGGAACACCAGCGGCGAAGGCGGCGCUCUGGGCUGGAACUGACGCUGAGGAGCGAAAGCGUGGGGAGCAAACAGG
rnacentral:rRNA from 1 species